CUGUUUCCAAACUGGGCUGAGUGCUGGGGAUGCAACAGUGAACAACGCCCAGGCUCCGUCUUUCCGGAUCUUGAGGUCUGGCGGGAAAGAGAGGCGUGGAAAAGACAAUUGCAAGAUGAUAGGUUAAGUGUUCCGAGCCUUUCAGGAAAGUACUGUGAUUAACGUGUUCUACUGAAGAGGAAAUUGUACCUUGAAGAAGUGGCAUGUCCUCCCCUAGAUCAUGGACUGUAGGCAGUGAAACGAGGUUGGCUGGUUAACGGAUGGCGUGGGAUUCUAAGCCAUCCAGGCGAGAGUGAAUGUUGUUGGAUUUCCCAACUAGUGGAAAAGGCACCGAUGACAGAAGGAGCUACAGGGAGACCAGCUGUCCUGUUAUGAAGACACGCAAGCAGUCCUGUGCAGAGACCCAUUUGGCAAGGAACGGAGGUUCUUGCAAACAGCCCUAUGAGUGAACCCUCUUGCAAAUGGAUCUUCCAACCCCAGUCAAGCCUUCGGGUGAAACCGCAGCCCUGGCUUCUCGACUACACCUUCCAGAGACCUUGAACCAGACCCACCCAGCUAAGCAGCUCCCAAAUGUCUGACUCUCCGAAACUGUGAGAUGAUAAAUGUUUGUCCUUUUAAGCCUCUAA